rnacentral:lncRNA from 1 species
AUGCACAAAAUGAAUAAAAUAAAAUUAUUUUUUCUGUUUUCACUAGUUAUAUUAUUACUGAAUAAUUCAGACAUACAAUGUAAAAAACACGCAUCUUUUUCAUCAAAUUAUAGUUUUAUUGAAACAACGGAAAAAAGUACGGAAAAAAGUAUGCCUGAAAUAUUUAAUUUAUUUUCUGUCAAAGCGGGUGCAGGAAAACGAACUUUAAAUCUUAUUAUAAAUGAAAAUAGAAACCUAUGGUUACGUCGCAUAUUAAACAGUGAAAAGAAUAGAAGCAUGAGAAAAGAUUUCGCUGAUUUUCAAGAAAUGAGGCAAAACGAUAUUUCAAGAUUUCACAAAUUGUUGAUAAUACAAAAUAAACAAAUAGAUACGAUUAAAAAUGCUUUAUUGUCUACUUAGGUAUCUAAUGACCUUUUUUUUAACCUUUUUUUUUAGGUAACUAUGAUAUAUAUGUUAAUCUUUAUUUUUAUUAAUUUUAACAUAGUUGCAAAUCAUAAAUUUAAUUUUUAUUGUUUUUGUUAUUAUCAAUUAAAAUUGAGAUUUAUCCGCUUGUUAUAAAAUUUUUUUUUUUUUUUCAAUUUUAUUUGUUACUUUUUUUGUUUAUACUUAACCUUGAAACUGUUUAUUUUAUAAAAAAUAACAACAAAAAUAAAAGAAACUAAUUAAUUAAUUAUUAACA